rnacentral:misc_RNA from 1 species
GAGAGUUUGUAACACCCGAAGUCGGUGAGGUAACCUUUUAGGAGCCAGCCGCCGAAGGUGGGACAGAUGAUUGGGGUGAAGUCGUAACAAGGUAGCCGUAUCGGAAGGUGCGGCUGGAUCACCUCCUCUCUAAGGAUAUUAUACGGAAUAUAAGACCUUGGGUCUU